rnacentral:snRNA from 1 species
GGAUAUGAAGGUGAUUUAGUUGUGACAUUUGUCACCCCAUUGGUAGCCAGGGUUGGUGUGACUGACCUAGCUGGGUAGGCAAGUGUCCCCUUUCUCCCUCACCACUCCUUGUACAUCCCUCCAGAAGCUGCAUGGUGGCUUUCCAGGAAUAGAGGAUGAGUAGUCUUCAGUCAAGAGUAUAUGAGUAGCUGAGCUCCCCUGCUAGACCCCCCUAACAAGCUCUCAAGAUCUUGGCAGAGGCUAUGAUCUUUCGAAGGUACCACAGGAUUAGAGGACCUAUCCCAAGACGGUUGCCUGGUACUCAGGAGGCCUUAGCACCUUGUUGGUUGUUGGUAUGA